UACAGAGGUCUCAAGCGUUGUUCGGAUUCAUUGGGCGUAAAGGGUGCGUAGGCGGCGCGGUAAGUCGGGUGUGAAAUCUCGGGGCUUAACUCCGAAACUGCAUUCGAUACUGCCGUGCUUGAGGACUGGAGAGGAGACUGGAAUUUACGGUGUAGCGGUGAAAUUCGUAGAUAUCAGGAGGAACACCGGUGGCGAAGGCGGCUUCCUGGACACUUACUGACGCUGAGACGCGAAAGCGUGGGGAGCAAACAGG
rnacentral:rRNA from 1 species